CAGUCGCCGCGGUAAAACGAAGGGGGCUAGCGUUGUUCGGAAUUACUGGGCGUAAAGCGCACGUAGGCGGAUUGUUAAGUUAGGGGUGAAAUCCCAGGGCUCAACCCUGGAACUGCCUUUAAUAUUGGCAAUCUCGAGUCCGAGAGAGGUGAGUGGAAUUCCGAGUGUAGAGGUGAAAUUCGUAGAUAUUCGGAGGAACACCAGUGGCGAAGGCGGCUCACUGGCUCGGUACUGACGCUGAGGUGCGAAAGCGUGGGGAGCAAACAGGAUUAGAUACCCCGGUAGUCCCUGUCUCUUAUAC
rnacentral:rRNA from 1 species